GUUAGCGGCGGACGGGUGAGUAACACGUGGAUAACCUACCUAUAAGACUGGGAUAACUUCGGGAAACCGGAGCUAAUACCGGAUAAUAUUUUGAACCGCAUGGUUCAAAAGUGAAAGACGGUCUUGCUGUCACUUAUAGAUGGAUCCGCGCUGCAUUAGCUAGUUGGUAAGGUAACGGCUUACCAAGGCAACGAUGCAUAGCCGACCUGAGAGGGUGAUCGGCCACACUGGAACUGAGACACGGUCCAGACUCCUACGGGAGGCAGCAGUAGGGAAUCUUCCGCAAUGGGCGAAAGCCUGACGGAGCAACGCCGCGUGAGUGAUGAAGGUCUUCGGAUCGUAAAACUCUGUUAUUAGGGAAGAACAUAUGUGUAAGUAACUGUGCACAUCUUGACGGUACCUAAUCAGAAAGCCACGGCUAACUACGUGCCAGCAGCCGCGGUAAUACGUAGGUGGCAAGCGUUAUCCGGAAUUAUUGGGCGUAAAGCGCGCGUAGGCGGUUUUUUAAGUCUGAUGUGAAAGCCCACGGCUCAACCGUGGAGGGUCAUUGGAAACUGGAAAACUUGAGUGCAGAAGAGGAAAGUGGAAUUCCAUGUGUAGCGGUGAAAUGCGCAGAGAUAUGGAGGAACACCAGUGGCGAAGGCGACUUUCUGGUCUGUAACUGACGCUGAUGUGCGAAAGCGUGGGGAUCAAACAGGAUUAGAUACCCUGGUAGUCCACGCCGUAAACGAUGAGUGCUAAGUGUUAGGGGGUUUCCGCCCCUUAGUGCUGCAGCUAACGCAUUAAGCACUCCGCCUGGGGAGUACGACCGCAAGGUUGAAACUCAAAGGAAUUGACGGGGACCCGCACAAGCGGUGGAGCAUGUGGUUUAAUUCGAAGCAACGCGAAGAACCUUACCAAAUCUUGACAUCCUUUGACAACUCUAGAGA
rnacentral:rRNA from 1 species